rnacentral:rRNA from 1 species
AACGAACGCUGGCGGCAUGCCUAACACAUGCAAGUCGAACGAGACCUUCGGGUCUAGAGGCGCACGGGUGCGUAAAGCGUGGGAACCUGCCCUGAGGUUCGGAAUAACUCCCCGAAAGGAGCGCGAAUACCGGAUACUGUUUUCGGACCAAAGAUUUAUCGCCUUUGGAUGGGCCCGCGUUGUAUUAGCUAGUUGGUAGGGUAAAACCCUACCAAGGCGACGAUCCAUAGUUGGUCUGCGAGGGUGAUCAGCCACACGGGGACUGAGACACGGCCCAGACUCCUACGGGAGGCAGCAGUGGGGAAUAUUGGACAAUGGGCGAAAGCCUGAUCCAGCAAUGCCGGGUGAGGGAUGAAGGCCUGAGGGUUGUAAAGCUCUUUUACCCGGGAUGAUAAUGACAGUACCGGGAGAAUAAGCUCCGGCUAACUCCGUG